UACGUGGGUGUCAAUCGUUGUCGGGGAUUAGUGGGCGUAAAGCGCGCGCAGGCGGCCUCUUAAGUCUGAUGUGAAAGCCCCCGGCUCAACCGGGGAGGGCCAUUGGAAACUGGGAGGCUUGAGUAUAGGAGAGAAGAGUGGAAUUCCACGUGUAGCGGUGAAAUGCGUAGAGAUGUGGCGGAACACCAGUGGCGAAGGCGACUCUUUGGCCUAUAACUGACGCUGAGGCGCGAAAGCGUGGGGAGCAACCAGG
rnacentral:misc_RNA from 1 species